rnacentral:rRNA from 1 species
UACGGAGGGUGCAAGCGUUAAUCGGAAUUACUGGGCGUAAAGCGCACGGAGGCGGUUUGUUAAGUCAGAUGUGAAAGCCCCGGGCUCAACAUGGGAACUGCAUCUGAAACUGGCAGGCUUGAGUGCAGUAGAGGAAGGUAGAAUUCCAGGUGUAGCGGUGAAAUGCGUAGAUAUCUGGAGGAAUACCAGUGGCGAAGGCGGCUCCCUGGACUGAGACUGACGCUGAGGUGCGAAAGCGUGGGUAGCAAACAGG